rnacentral:tRNA from 2 species
GGACGCGUAGCUCAGCGGGAGAGCAUUCGCUUCACACGCGAAGGGUCGCAGGUUCAAUCCCUGCCGCGUCCACCA